GGGACGUGCACGCGUUGCGGGGCAACGAUGGUCAAGGA
rfam:Syntrophus aciditrophicus SB, complete genome.